ACUCCUACGGGAGGCAGCAGUGGGGAAUAUUGCACAAUGGGCGCAAGCCUGAUGCAGCCAUGCCGCGUGUGUGAAGAAGGCCUUCGGGUUGUAAAGCACUUUCAGUCGUGAGGAAGGUGGUAGUGUUAAUAGCACUAUCAUUUGACGUUAGCGACAGAAGAAGCACCGGCUAACUCCGUGCCAGCCAGCCGCGGUAAUACGGAGGGUGCGAGCGUUAAUCGGAAUUACUGGGCGUAAAGCGCAUGCAGGUGGUUUGUUAAGUCAGAUGUGAAAGCCCGGGGCUCAACCUCGGAACUGCAUUUGAAACUGGCAGCUAGAGUACUGUAGAGGGGGGUAGAAUUUCAGGUGUAGCGGUGAAAUGCGUAGAGAUCUGAAGGAAUACCGGUGGCGAAGGCCGGCCCCCGUGGACAGAUACUGACACUCAGAUGCGAAAGCGUGGGGAGCAAACAGGAUUAGAUACCCUGGUAGCACAGAG
rnacentral:rRNA from 1 species